AGAGUUUGAUCAUGGCUCACAUUGAACGCUGGCGGAAUGCUUUACACAUGCAAGUCGAGCGGCAGCAUGGACUUCGGUCUGAUGGCGAGCGGCGAACGGGUGAGUAAUGUAUAGGAACAUACCCAGUAAUGGGGGAUAACGCCNAGAAAUCGGUGCUAAUACCGCAUACGCCCUGAGGGGGAAAGCGGGGGAUCUUCGGACCUCGCGUUAUUGGAUUGGCCUAUAUCUGAUUAGCUAGUUGGUGAGGUAAAGGCUCACCAAGGCUUCGAUCAGUAGCUGGUCUGAGAGGAUGAUCAGCCACACUGGAACUGAGACACGGUCCAGACUCCUACGGGAGGCAGCAGUGGGGAAUUUUGGACAAUGGGCGAAAGCCUGAUCCAGCCAUUCCGCGUGAGUGAAGAAGGCCUUCGGGUUGUAAAGCUCUUUCGGCAGGAAAGAAAUCAUUACUCCUAAUACGAGUGAUGGAUGACGGUACCUGAAGAAGAAGCACCGGCUAACUACGUGCCAGCAGCCGCGGUAAUACGUAGGGUGCGAGCGUUAAUCGGAAUUACUGGGCGUAAAGCGUGCGCAGGCGGUUUUGUAAGUCAGAUGUGAAAGCCCCGGGCUCAACCUGGGAAUGGCGUUUGAAACUACAAGGCUAGAGUGUG
rnacentral:rRNA from 1 species